GCGUUGGUCGUUCAACGGUGCAGCACACUCUCCCGGAAAGAGUGAGGUUUGGGUUCAAAUCCCGGCUGACGCA